CGCCAAGAGACUCAAGUGACACUUGACAGGUGUAGUACUCGGAUGAAGCUAUUGGAAAUUUUGACCACUUUCUCCCAUGGAAGGCUUUUAGAGGCGUAAAACUAGUGGUUAACACAGAAGUGGGUAAAUAGACACGAAGAAUAUGGACAAAGUUGGACACUGUUUAGAUUUGCUCCUUUUUCAUCAAAGGAUUUUCUCCCAAGGAAAUCCACAAAGUUCACAGCAGUUCAGUUCGGGUUUUAGGAUAUGGAAGACUACAACUGCGCAGCCUGCUUUCGCGACAAGCUGCAUCUCCUCCUUGUCCCUCUCUUCUGCCUAUUCUGUCGAGGAUCCAUUCCAACCCAUGCAAGGUUGAAAACAUGUUCCCGAAUUUGCUCUCCACACAAUGUCUAGAAGUGGUGGUGACAUAGGAAACAAAAAUGAAGAGAUGAGAUAAGACUGAUCGUAAUAUAAAGGAGCAAGUGAACACCAAG